GUGUCGAGUUUCUUUGCUGCUGUCUUGCUUUUCCUGAACACUUCCUGGAUGUACAAGUGACUCAAACUCGCUCAUUUUGAGGCAGGAACCGGCGGACGUGCAACAACUUUAACUAUGAGGAUCAAGUGAGAGAAGCAGAUGGGUAAAAAGCAUAUUUGUGUUGGGUAGUUACUUCAGGUGAAAGUGAAAGAGUUGAUGGGGAGAAAUUGUGAUCACACAUCUACAGGUGAGCACACAGAAUCCCAGAGCUGUUUAAGACCAAUAUUCAGGAUUCAAGCUCAUGGUGUCCACCUGGGAGACAGAGAUGAGUAUUUCACUCACAUACUGUGCAUGUGAGCCCACAGAAGAGCCAACUUGAUAGACUCCAUUACCCAAAACUGCAGCAUGAUGUAGUGAUUGGCAAUUGA
ensembl:processed_transcript